rnacentral:rRNA from 1 species
AACGAACGCUGGCGGCAUGCCUAACACAUGCAAGUCGAACGAUCCCUUCGGGGCUAGUGGCGCACGGGUUCGUAACGCGUGGGAACCUGCCCUUAGGUUCGGAAUAACUCAGAGAAAUUUGAGCUAAUACCGGAUAAUGUCUUCGGACCAAAGAUUUAUCGCCUUUGGAUGGGCCCGCGUUGGAUUAGCUAGUUGGUAGGGUAAAGGCCUACCAAGGCGACGAUCCAUAGCUGGUCUGAGAGGAUGAUCAGCCACACUGGGACUGAGACACGGCCCAGACUCCUACGGGAGGCAGCAGUGGGGAAUAUUGGACAAUGGGCGAAAGCCUGAUCCAGCAAUGCCGCGUGAGUGAUGAAGGCCUUAGGGUUGUAAAGCUCUUUUACCCGGGAUGAUAAUGACAGUACCGGGAGAAUAAGCCCCGGCUAACUCCGUG